CGGAGCAGAUGUGGCAGCAGCAAGCAUUUGGAUGAGAGAAGUGGCAUGACCGGCUUGCAGGAGCAUCUGUGCGUGCUGUCAUCCUUCUCCAGGCUUUCUUGCUGGCCUUCUUCUUUCCCCAGGAGCUCUUUUACCCCUCUUUUAACAGCAUCCUGCCCCCUUGCACUGGCCACUAGUAAGCAUUUGUGUGGUGCUUCAUGGCUCCUAGUGGUUUUCCCCCUAACUGGUAGUCCAGCUCAUCGCCAUUUGCUUACCAGCCACCCAUGACCGCCCAGCCCUCUCUUCCCAUCGCAUCCACAAAACCUUCACAGGGAAAAAAAUUAAAAUAACAAGACAAGGAAAUAAUAGAAGAAGGAGGUGAUUCUUUUUAAACCUUUCUUGCGAGUGACGACAAGGAUUCAUUUGUCCUGAGCCUUUGUUCCGGGAGCCCUUGGCACAGCAGUCGUCGGAACAGGUGCUGAAGAGUAGGAGGGAACAGGGAUGAGAACAGCGAGCAGAUCAAACAAGCAACCUUCAGAGGAGACAUCAGCCCCACAAUGAUCGUUGGCAUGAUGACAGCGUCUUUGAGGGCCCCUGUAGGUAGUUUUGUUUAUCUAAAAUAGGGCUGACCCCAACCAAAUAUUUAUGUGCCUCUUGAGUGGCUUUAAAAAUAUUUAAGGGUCUUUGCUCAUGUAGACUGGAAGUUUUCAAUGGAGCACAAGUCCUGUUGA